AUCUUGCUCAAUGGGCGAAAGCCUGAAGCAGCGACGCCGCGUGCGGGAAGAAGGCCUUCGGGUUGUAAACCGCUUUCAGGGGGGAAGAAGCGCAAGUGACGGUACCCCCAGAAGAAGGACCGGCCAACUACGUGCCAGCAGCCGCGGUAAUACGUAGGGUCCAAGCGUUGUCCGGAAUUAUUGGGCGUAAAGAGCUCGUAGGCGGUCCGUUAAGUCGGAAGUGAAAUCUCAAGGCUCAACCUUGAAAUCGCUCUCGAUACUGGCGGACUUGAGGCAGGUAGGGGAAGGUGGAAUUCCUGGUGUAGCGGUGAAAUGCGCAGAUAUCAGGAGGAACACCGGUGGCGAAGGCGGCCUUCUGGGCCUGUUCUGACGCUGAGGAGCGAAAGCGUGGGGAGCAAAC
rnacentral:rRNA from 1 species